UAACACGUGGGUAACCUGCCUGUAAGACUGGGAUAACUCCGGGAAACCGGAGCUAAUACCGGAUAGUUCCUUGAACCGCAUGGUUCAAGGAUGAAAGACGGUUUCGGCUGUCACUUACAGAUGGACCCGCGGCGCAUUAGCUAGUUGGUGAGGUAACGGCUCACCAAGGCGACGAUGCGUAGCCGACCUGAGAGGGUGAUCGGCCACACUGGGACUGAGACACGGCCCAGACUCCUACGGGAGGCAGCAGUAGGGAAUCUUCCGCAAUGGACGAAAGUCUGACGGAGCAACGCCGCGUGAGUGAUGAAGGUUUUCGGAUCGUAAAGCUCUGUUGUUAGGGAAGAACAAGUGCAAGAGUAACUGCUUGCACCUUGACGGUACCUAACCAGAAAGCCACGGCUAACUACGUGCCAGCAGCCGCGGUAAUACGUAGGUGGCAAGCGUUGUCCGGAAUUAUUGGGCGUAAAGGGCUCGCAGGCGGUUUCUUAAGUCUGAUGUGAAAGCCCCCGGCUCAACCGGGGAGGGUCAUUGGAAACUGGGAAACUUGAGUGCAGAAGAGGAGAGUGGAAUUCCACGUGUAGCGGUGAAAU
rnacentral:rRNA from 1 species